ACCAGUUCUCCCUAAAAUUGGAGCUUUACUUUAUCUUUUUCGGCUAGUUUCUAGAGAGGGCAUAUAAUCAUAAACAAAUGGGCAGGGCAGGCAGGGAUGCACACAUACAUAACAGCCACUACAUCACCCUCUUUUUUGUGAGUUAACACCUGGUUGUCAUGGCAAUUGCACCACAUCCUUCAUUGUGACAUCCUCUAGCCCAAGCAAAGCUAUUGAGGCAAUGAACAAAAGUCAGUGCUCAAUUUGGCCUCAGAGAGGGACAGUUGGUGCUGUGCUGUACUGCAGCAAUUUUGACAAUUUCUGUUACAUAGGAUUCAAGAUUCGGCAUUCAGACCUCAGAAGUCUGAGAACCCAUUAGUGGAUGAUGAAUUACCUGAAGUCAAUGUUGGAUUCUUGGAUGAAGGGUCCAUCAAGGGCCAGAACACGUGUCCACACCCAAUUUUCAGCUACUUUUUGGCUCCUCACAUACUUUUUCUUGCCUAAUGAAGCCUCUUCACCUCUCAAAAAGGCAGAUCCAUCCUCCUUCAUCAGGAUGAAUACUCCAUCAUGGGUUCAUUUAAUCAGUGACUCUCCCUUGCUUGCCCCUGUACUUCCCGAGGCUCCGUUCUUUGUGCUUUAUGAAACUUUCCUCAAACAGACCAGACCCUCUACUCCUGAG